GAUGAACGCUGGCGGUAUGCUUAACACAUGCAAGUCGAACGGACUCUUCGGAGUUAGUGGCGGACGGGUGAGUAACGCGUGAGAAUCUGGCUUUGGGUUCGGGACAACCACUGGAAACGGUGGCUAAUACCGGAUGUGCCGAGAGGUAAAAGAGAAAUUGCCUGAAGAUGAGCUCGCGUCUGAUUAGCUAGUUGGUGAGGUAAAGGCUCACCAAGGCAGCGAUCAGUAGCUGGUCUGAGAGGAUGACCAGCCACACUGGGACUGAGACACGGCCCAGACUCCUGCGGGAGGCAGCAGUGGGGAAUUUUCCGCAAUGGGCGAAAGCCUGACGGAGCAAUACCGCGUGAGAGAAGAAGGCUCUUGGGUUGUAAACCUCUUUUCUUAGAGAAGAACAAAAUGACGGUACCUGAGGAAUCAGCAUCGGCUAACUCCGUG
rnacentral:rRNA from 1 species